AUUGAACGCUGGCGGCAUGCCUUACACAUGCAAGUCGAACGGUAACGCGGGGCAACCUGGCGACGAGUGGCGAACGGGUGAGUAACGCAUCGGAACGUGCCCGAGUAGUGGGGGAUAGCCCGGCGAAAGCCGGAUUAAUACCGCAUACGACCUACGGGUGAAAGCGGGGGAUCGCAAGACCUCGCGCUAUUGGAGCGGCCGAUGUCAGAUUAGGUAGUUGGUGGGGUAAAGGCCUACCAAGCCUUCGAUCUGUAGCUGGUCUGAGAGGACGACCAGCCACACUGGGACUGAGACACGGCCCAGACUCCUACGGGAGGCAGCAGUGGGGAAUUUUGGGACAAUGGGCGCAAGCCUGAUCCAGCCAUGCCGCGUGCGGGAAGAAGGCCUCGGUUGUAA
rnacentral:rRNA from 1 species